rnacentral:rRNA from 1 species
UACAGAGGUCUCAAGCGUUGUUCGGAUUCAUUGGGCGUAAAGGGUGCGUAGGCGGCGCGGUAAGUCGGGUGUGAAAUCUCGGGGCUUAACUCCGAAACUGCAUUCGAUACUGCCGUGCUUGAGGACUGGAGAGGAGACUGGAAUUUACGGUGUAGCGGUGAAAUGCGUAGAUAUCGAUAAGGAAGACCAGUGGCGAAGGC